rnacentral:misc_RNA from 1 species
GUUCCCACUACCCCACCAACCCCACUGCUAAAACUCCCAUUUGCUCCUGCUUCUGCUCCUCCUGCCACCACUGGUACCACCGCCAACGGUUGUUCUGGUGGUGGUGAAUCAUACUCCGAGUUAACCCCUAGUGACCCAGAUUCUGUACUCUCUUUAUCUUCCAUUUCCAUCAUUGAUUUCUGAUUUUCAGUAAAAAAAAUUGAGUUUUUGGAGUUUGUAAAGUUUGAGCUUCCCUCCA